UACGUAGGGGGCAAGCGUUGUCCGGAAUUACUGGGCGUAAAGGGCUUGUAGGCGGCCAACUAAGUCCGACGUGAAAUCCCCAGGCUUAACCUGGGAACUGCGUCGGAUACUGGAUGGCUUGAAUUCGGGAGAGGGACGCGGAAUUCCAGGUGUAGCGGUGAAAUGCGUAGAUAUCUGGAGGAACACCGGUGGCGAAGGCGGCGUCCUGGACCAACACUGACACUGAGGAGCGAAAGCCAGGGGAGCAAACGGG
rnacentral:rRNA from 1 species